UUACAAAUUUUUAUUUUAUUUUAAACAUUUUCCUUUUCAUUCUUAACUUGCUUAGUGUUUAUAUUUGCUUCUCCAUGUAUUUCCUUAUUGCUUUAUUCCCAAAGUGUGGGCCAACGACACCUGGUGGACUGCAAAGCUACUGCAGCCCACACCCUGCACCUGUGUGACAGCAGUGUCCAUAGCAACAUCUCCUUAGCAACCACAUUCCUUUCUUAUCUGCUCAUUCCGUAGGUGGGACUACAAGACAUAAAACACAGUGACAGAUGUAUGACAGUUUCUUUGUUUUUUAUGUAACUACCUUCACUGCUAACAUGUGGAGAGGCGUCUUUCCACCAUGUCUGUCCAUAAAUGAAGAUGAAGUCUGUGAAAUAAAUAAAUGUACAAGGUCACAAUUCCAGAGUACAGUGAACACAUUAAAUAAACACGGUCAGCAGUUAAAAGUA